UACGUAGGUGGCAAGCGUUGUCCGGAUUUACUGGGCGUAAAGAGCGCGCAGGCGGUCGUUCAAGUCGCGUGUGAAAGCCCCCGGCUCAACUGGGGAGGGUCACGCGAUACUGAUCGACUCGAAGGCAGGAGAGGGAAGUGGAAUUCCGCGUGUAGCAGUGAAAUGCGUAGAUAUGCGGAGGAACACCGAUGGCGAAGGCAAUCCCCUGGACCUGUACUGACGCUCAUGCACGAAAGGCGUGGGGAGCAAACAGG
rnacentral:rRNA from 1 species